rnacentral:pre_miRNA from 1 species
AGUGUGAUUGCUGGAUUGUAUGGUAAGAGUAUGCUUAGUUUUAUAAGAAACUGCUAAACUCCCUUCCAAAGUGGCUGUACCAUUUUACAUUUCCACUGGCAAC